rnacentral:rRNA from 1 species
UACGGGGGGGGCAAGCGUUGUUCGGAAUUACUGGGCGUAAAGGCUCGUAGGUCGGCCAACUAAGUCAUACGUGAAAUCCCUCGGCUUAACCGGGGAAACGUGCGUCUGAUACUGGAUGGCUUGAGUUCGGGAGAGGGAUGCGGAAUUCCAGGUGUAGCGGUGAAAUGCGUAGAUAUCUGGAGGAACACCGGUGGCGAAGGCGGCAUCCUGGACCCGAUACUGACGCUGAUGAGCGAAAGCCAGGGGAGCAAACGGGG